rnacentral:ncRNA from 1 species
AGAUGUAGUCCAUUAGUUUUAUAUUUUGCCCAUUAGGGCUGAUUUAUUUCUACAAACAGCAGUGCAACAUCUGUCAGUACUUCUGGUGCCU